GUUGAAGCCCUGCUGGGAGGGUUGGGCGUUUCCAGCCAUUCUCACACGGCUUCUCAGCCGGGGUCUCCCACCCCGGCCCUGGCCCUGGGCCUGCCCUCACUGCCUCCUCCCCAUCCCCUACCCCUAGAGGCCUCCUGCCCUGGUCACCUACGCGUCACCUAAGCCCCGAGGCCAGGCGGCUUCUUGUCUACUAAAGACUUCCGGAGAGAGGCAUUCACCCUGUGGUCAGAGCUGGGGUUUCCAUGGAGGAGCACCACAGCCAUAAAGAAAGUUAUGGAGGCUGUGAAGUGCAAGGUCAAGAGGCUGCAUCUGGUGAAGACCUUCUUGCUGGUAGGGUCUCUCUACCUGGUCCUGAGGCAGUCCAGGGCAUCACAUGGCUGGUGAGCCCCAGAGCGGAGGACCCUGCCGAGCUGUUUCCAGACUCCUGAUCCACAGAAACCGUGAGAGGAUAACAUUGUUCUGCUUGAAGCCACUACACCUGCCGUCACUUGUCUCGCAUCAUUAGGGAACCAACGUGCUCUGGAAGACAGCAACUCUCAGGGUCCAUUCCGCUGACACCAGCGCCUCAGAUGACACAGGACGUGGCAUGGUGGCUAUUGACUCAUCAAGGGAACAGCAAUGGCCACUCUGCACCUUGCAUUCCUAUCCUUUUUUGGGCUUCAGAUCAGAAAUCGCAACUUUUGCGUGGAGAUCCUGGGCCUCCACACUGCUGGCCUCCCAUCGUCCCAAGAAUGACUCCCUGGAAAGAGCCUGUUCAGACCCUUUGUGACUGGACUCUACUGUAAGAGGAGAAUCAAAUGCUUGCAAGAAAACUGUAAAGCAGAGUUUCCUAAAAUACAUUUCAUAAGCGUGAGUGCCAGGAGUGCCUUAAAAAUGUGACUCUAUUGUCAAAUAAGUUGGGCAAUUUACUGAAGUAUACAUGAAUAUGUUAAAACCUCCAAGGAGUCCUGAAUUUAAAACAAACCUACACACAAAAACAAAGGUAUUUUUUAACCUAUCUGUUU
rnacentral:lncRNA from 1 species